rnacentral:sRNA from 1 species
UUGUCUGCACUGGAGACUGAAGUCAUCUGUUUAUCCACAGAACAGGUACACCACAAGCAGCAGCACAGACUUCCCCAUGCUACCCCAUCAAUGUGCCUCAAUCAGGUUAAUGAGGGACACUUGUGUGGUUUAGGGAUCAUGAAGACUCCAUGCCCACUUGAUGACUGGCUUCU